UGAGGGAAUAUUGGUCAAUGGGCGCGAGCCUGAACCAGCCAAGUCGCGUGAAGGAUGAAGGUUCUAUGGAUUGUAAACUUCUUUUAUGGGGGAAUAAAGUGCGGGAUGCGUCCCGUUUUGUAUGUACCUCAUGAAUAAGCAUCGGCUAACUCCGUGCCAGCAGCCGCGGUAAUACGGAGGAUGCGAGCGUUAUCCGGAUUCAUUGGGUUUAAAGGGUGCGUAGGUGGCCAUUUAAGUCAGCGGUGAAAGUUUGUGGCUCAACCAUAAAAUUGCCGUUGAAACUGGAGGGCUUGAGUAUGUUUGGGGCAGGCGGAAUGUGUGGUGUAGCGGUGAAAUGCAUAGAU
rnacentral:rRNA from 1 species